UAUGAAAUAGCAAGGAAAAUAAUUUUUUGGUUGUGGCUCAUCACAACAUGAGGAACUGUAUUAAAGGUUCACAGCAUGAGGAAGGUUGAGAACCACUGCUCUGAGGUCUGAUUUUUCCAACAGCCUAGUCUCCCGUGUCAAGCCAUUUUGAGGUGCUAUGGGCCUUUAGCAGAGAAGCUCCUCAGGAUGUGGACAUACAGAAUUUGGCCUUUGACUCACAAUGAAACAUUAAUACAAGUCAUAAUAAUUUCAUAUAAGUGAUGGUUUUAUUUUUAAAAGAAGGCAUUUAGAUAGUAAGAUUACAUAGAGCUGCUAAAAUGUCACAGAAAUAAACAACAACUAUGUGAGAAACUUGCAGAGAUGACACAUCUGUAGCAGUUUGGGCAGUAAAAGUCAGCAGUUUGGAUUCCCUCUUUUUAAGUGAGGUGGACACUGGGCUUAUCUACUAGUCACCUGCCUCGGGUGAAUCAGACCAUCCAGUGUAUUUUGGUUCAGGCCCAUUCCCUGACACUGUGCAAGUAUAGCUAGUCAGCAAGAGUUUUCUUUUUUCAGUUUAACUUGUAUUUUACCAGAGAAAAUCCAAUUUUCCAUCCCUUUCAAAGAUUAAAACUGAUAUUGUAGGAUAGUAAACCUCUUUAGUCUGACCCAGUCUCCUACUCACAUGUGGGUUAGUGCUCAUAAUAAAGGCCACUGCUUAGGUUUGUUUUAACAGGCACACAGAACAGCUCAGCCAAGGUGAUUCUGAAGUGGUGUCCAAAUAUAUCGGAUUUCUGAAUGCCCACUCAGAACAUCAAAUCAGGAGCAGCCUUGAGAGAAGAAGGAUUUGACAGCUUCAUCUCAUCCACACAGAAGUGAAUAUCACACUGUCCAGGGCUCUGGAUUUGUGUGACUGCACAUUACAGCAGCAAAAUAAGGAGGCUCUUCAUUAUGGACAGUUAGGGGAGAUGGAGGGUUGUUGCUGUGGUAAUGCAAAGGAGCUUUGUUUGCAGCUACAGCAUAUGCUGAAGGUGAGUGGGAUGAGCAGUAAUGAUUUGAGAUAGUAGCAAACUGACAAGGAUGACAGAAAAUCAGGUAGACAGUUGACUUGUGAACAGUUUUCAGUUCCUGA
rnacentral:lncRNA from 1 species